GUUAAAUAUGUGUCAACCACAGAACUCACACUAACUGACAGCUAGUUGACUCACUGUACAAGACUUCUCCCCUUCAAUUCACUCUACUGCAGGGUGGGAGAUGCAACAAUGGUCUUGAGAACAGCAGGUGGUCGUCUUUCUCUGGUGAUCUUUCUCUGGUCUGUAGCAGUGGUACUGAGUCAGAAUGUCUGGAGUGUUACAUACACCACUCAGAGUAUCUGUACCUUGAAGGGGUCAACAGUGGAGAUGUCCUGCUCUUACACAUAUCCCAGUUGGCAUAAAGUCACAACAACCUUCUGGUUCAUCAAAAAGUAUGACGUGGAGAAUUAUGUAAAUCUGAGAAAUGACUACAAUGGUCGUGUGACGUACCGUAGUGAUAAGAUGAAUGGCCACACCCUGAGAUUCACAGACCUGAGAGAAAGUGACUCAGCUGAGUACAAAUUCAGAUUUAUAACAGAUCAGACUGGAGGGAAAUAUUCUGGCUAUCCUGGAGUCACUCUGUCUGUUACAGGUACAGUGAUAUUAUAUAUAGUAUUGAUCUGUUUAUUCACUCUGUCUGUUACAGGUACAGUGAUAUUAUAUAUAGUGUUGAUGUGUUUAGUCACUUUGUCUGUUACAGGUAGAGUGAUAUUAUAUAUAGUGUUGAUGUGUUUAGUCACUCUGUCUGUUACAGGUACAGUGAUAUUAUAUAUAGUAUUGAUGUGUUUAAUCACUCUGUCUGUUACAGGUACAGUGAUAUUAUAUAUAGUAUUGAUGUGUUUAAUCACUCUGUCUGUUACAGGUACAGUGAUAUUAUAUAUAGUAUUGAUGUGUUUAAUCACUCUGUCUGUUACAGGUACAGUGAUAUUAUAUAUAGUAUUGAUGUGUUUAAUCACUCUGUCUGUUACAGGUACAGUGAUAUUAUAUAUAGUAUUGAUGUGUUUAAUCACUCUGUCUGUUACAGGUACAGUGAUAUUAUAUAUA